rnacentral:rRNA from 1 species
GGAUGAACGCUAGCGGCAGGCCUAACACAUGCAAGUCGAGGGGUAACAUGGUAGCUUGCUACCGAUGACGACCGGCGCACGGGUGCGCACCGCGUAUGGAACCUGCCUUUUACAGGGGAAUAGCCUUUGGAAACGAAGAUUAAUGCCCCAUAGUACCGUUUUGCAGCAUUGCUUUACGGUUAAAGCCUUCGGGCGGUAAAAGAUGGCCAUGCGUCCCAUUAGCUAGUUGGUAAGGUAACGGCUUACCAAGGCUACGAUGGGUAGGGGCCCUGAAAGGGGGAUCCCCCACACUGGUACUGAAACACGGACCAGACUCCUACGGGAGGCAGCAGUGAGGAAUAUUGGACAAUGGAGGAGACUCUGAUCCAGCCAUGCCGCGUGCAGGAAGAAUGCCCUAUGGGUAUUAAACUGCUUUUAUACGGGAAGAAAAAUAGCUACUUGUAGCUUACUGACGGUACCGUAAGAAUAAGGACCGGCUAACUCCGUGCCAGCAGCCGCGGUAAUACGGAGGGUCCCAACGUUAUCCGGAAUUAUUGGGUUUAAAGGGUCCGU